rnacentral:misc_RNA from 1 species
UACGUAGGUGGCGAACGUUAUCCGGAAUUAUUGGGCGUAAAGGGUCCGUAGGCGGUACGGUAAGUCUGAUGUGAAAGCUCCCGGCUCAACUGGGAGAGUGCAUUGGAAACUGCCGAACUAGAAUGACGGCGAGGCUGGCGGAAUUCCCGGUGUAGUGGUGGAAUGCGUAGAGAUCGGGAGGAACCUCGAAAGCGAAGGCAGCCAGCUAGUCGAUGAUUGACGCUGAGGGACGACAGCGUGGGGAGCGAACAGG